CAGUCGCCGCGGGAAAACGUAGGCGGCAAGCGUUGUCCGGAAUUAUUGGGCGUAAAGGGAGCGCAGGUGGGACGGUAAGUCCGUCUUAAAAGGCAGGGGCUCAGCCCCUGUAAGGGAUGGAAACUAUCGAUCUUGAGUGCCGGAGAGGAAAGCGGAAUUCCCAGUGUAGCGGUGAAAUGCGUAGAUAUUGGGAAGAACACCAGUGGCGAAGGCGGCUUUCUGGACGGCAACUGACACUGAGGCUCGAAAGCCAGGGGAGUGAACGGGAUUAGAUACCCCGGUAGUCCCUGUCUCUUAUACA
rnacentral:rRNA from 1 species